rnacentral:rRNA from 1 species
ACUCCUACGGGAGGCAGCAGUAGGGAAUAUUGGUCAAUGGAUGCAAGUCUGAACCAGCCAUGCCGCGUGCAGGAAGAAGGCCUUCUGGGUUGUAAACUGCUUUUGCCAGGGGAUAAAAUGAGCGUGCGCGCUUAAUUGAAGGUACCUGGUGAAUAAGCCACGGCUAACUACGUGCCAGCAGCCGCGGUAAU